GUCACGAUAGCUCAAGUGGUAGAGCCGCGGCGUAAAAGCCGAAGGUCGUGGGUUCGAAUCCCGCUCGUGACA